rfam:Heterocephalus glaber contig61624, whole genome shotgun sequence.
AUGGCUUCUCAGUCUUUUGGCUAAGAUCAAGUGUAGUAUCUGUUCUUAUCAAUUUAACACUCU